UACGUAGGGUGCGAGCGUUGUCCGGAAUUAUUGGGCGUAAAGAGCUCGUAGGCGGUGUGUCACGUCGGCCGUGAAAACCUGCAGCUUAACUGUGGGCGUGCGGUCGAUACGGGCAUCACUGGAGUUCGGCAGGGGGAGACUGGAAUUCCUGGUGUAGCGGUGAAAUGCGCAGAUAUCAGGAGGAAACACCGGGUGGCGAAAGGGCGGGGUCUCUGGGGCCCG
rnacentral:rRNA from 1 species